UCCAUAAAUAUUAAAUCCAAUGGUCUUCCAUCGUUGUAGAUGUGUGGACGUGCUACCGGCAUUGAUUGUUCUCGGUUGGUCAUAGUGGUUCAGUUGCAUUGAAAACACGCAACCACUCUAUUAGUAAAGAGUUACUCCAAAAUAAAGAUGGAGUUGGACCCAAUAUCUAUUAGGUAAGGGACCCAAUGACGGCUUUGCAUCUGCUUGCGAACAGUGGAUCUGA
rnacentral:lncRNA from 1 species